AUUGAACGCUGGCGGCGUGCCUAACACAUGCAAGUCGCACGCGAAAGGGGCAACCCCAAGUAGAGUGGCGGACGGGUGAGUAACGCGUAGGAAUCUACCUAGUAGUGGGGGACAACCCGGCGAAAGCCGGGCUAAUACCGCAUACGACCUAAGGGUGAAAGCAGGGGAUCGCAAGACCUUGCGCUAUUAGAUGAGCCUGCGUCCGAUUAGCUAGUUGGUGAGGUAACGGCUCACCAAGGCGACGAUCGGUAACUGGUUUGAGAGAACGACCAGUCACAUUGGGACUGAGACACGGCCCCAAAUCCUACGGGAGGCAGCGGUGGGGAAUAUUGGACAAUGGGGGCAACCCUGAUCCAGCGACGCCGCGUGUGUGAAGAAGGCCUUCGGGUUGUAAAGCACUUUCGGCAGGGACAAACAAGACGGAGCUAACAUCUCCGUUCCUGAUGGUACCUGAAGAAGAAGCACCGGCUAACUCUGUGCCAGCCGCCGCAGUAA
rnacentral:rRNA from 1 species